UACGAAGGGGGCUAGCGUUGUUCGGAAUCACUGGGCGUAAAGGGCGAGUAGGCGGCCUGAUAAGUCGGGGGUGAAAUCCUGUGGCUUAACCACAGGGCUGCCUCCGAGACUGUCGGGCUCGAGCACAGUAGAGGCAGGUGGAAUUCCCGGUGUAGCGGUGGAAUGCGUAGAGAUCGGGAAGAACAUCGGUGGCGAAGGCGGCCUGCUGGGCUGUUGCUGACGCUGAGGCGCGACAGCGUGGGGAGCAAACAGG
rnacentral:rRNA from 1 species